UGUCAGGGAGUUCUGGAGAGUGAGAAAGUCCCCCUGAGCCUCCUUUUCUCCAGGCUGAACCCCCUCAGCUCCUUCGGCUGCUCCCCAUA